rnacentral:rRNA from 1 species
AUUGAACGCUGGCGGCAGGCCUAACACAUGCAAGUCGAGCGAGCGGCGGACGGGUGUGUAAUGUAUGGGGACUGCCCGAUAGAGGGGGAUAACAACUGGAAACGGUAGCUAAUACCGCAUACUAUCGGAUAACCCAUAUGGGAUUAGCUAGUAGGGGAGGUAAUGGCUCACCUAGGAGACGAGCCCUAGCUGGUCUGAGAGGAUGAUCCGCCACACUGGGACUGAGACACGGCCCAGACUCCUACGGAGGCAGAAGUGGGGAAUAUUGUACAAUGGGCGCAAGCCUGAUGCAGCCAUGCCGCGUGUAUGAAGAAGGCCCUAGGGUUGUAAAGUACUUUCAGUGGGGAGGCGUUACCGACAGAAGAAGCACCGGCUAACGCCGUGCCAGCCGCCGCGGUAAUAC